rnacentral:rRNA from 1 species
AACGAACGCUGGCGGCAGGCUUAACACAUGCAAGUCGAACGCCCCGCAAGGGGAGUGGCAGACGGGUGAGUAACGCGUGGGAAUCUACCCAUCUCUGCGGAAUAGCUCCGGGAAACUGGAAUUAAUACCGCAUACGCCCUACGGGGGAAAGAUUUAUCGGGGAUGGAUGAGCCCGCGUUGGAUUAGCUAGUUGGUGGGGUAAAGGCCUACCAAGGCGACGAUCCAUAGCUGGUCUGAGAGGAUGAUCAGCCACAUUGGGACUGAGACACGGCCCAAACUCCUACGGGAGGCAGCAGUGGGGAAUAUUGGACAAUGGGCGCAAGCCUGAUCCAGCCAUGCCGCGUGAGUGAUGAAGGUCUUAGGAUUGUAAAAUUCUUUCACCGGGGACGAUAAUGACGGUACCCGGAGAAGAAGCCCCGGCUAACUUCGUGCCAGCCGCCGCCGUAA